CAGUCGCCGCGGGAAAACGUAGGGUGCAAGCGUUGUCCGGAAUUAUUGGGCGUAAAGAGCUCGUAGGCGGCUUGUCGCGUCGGAUGUGAAAGCCCGGGGCUUAACUCCGGGUCUGCAUUCGAUACGGGCAGGCUGGAGUGUGGUAGGGGAGAUCGGAAUUCCUGGUGUAGCGGUGAAAUGCGUGGAGAUCAAGAGGAACACUCGUGGCGAAGGCGAGCUACUGGACAAUAACUGACGCUGAGGCUCGAGGGCCAGGGUAGCGAAAGGGAUUAGAUACCCGAGUAGUCCCUGUCUCUUAUAC
rnacentral:rRNA from 1 species